AGUGAACGCUGGCGGUAGGCCUAACACAUGCAAGUCGAACGGCAGCACAGUAAGAGCUUGCUCUUACGGGUGGCGAGUGGCGGACGGGUGAGGAAUACAUCGGAAUCUACUUUUUCGUGGGGGAUAACGUAGGGAAACUUACGCUAAUACCGCAUACGACCUACGGGUGAAAGCAGGGGAUCUUCGGACCUUGCGCGAUUGAAUGAGCCGAUGUCGGAUUAGCUAGUUGGCGGGGUAAAGGCCCACCAAGGCGACGAUCCGUAGCUGGUCUGAGAGGAUGAUCAACCACACUGGAACUGAGACACGGUCCAGACUCCUACGGGAGGCAGAAGUGGGGAAUAUUGGACAAUGGGCGCAAGCCUGAUCCAGCCAUACCGCGUGGGUGAAGAAGGCCUUCGGGUUGUAAAGCCCUUUUGUUGGGAAAGAAAAGCAGCAGGUUAAUACCCCGCUGUUCUGACGGUACCCAAAGAAUAAGCACCGGCUAACUUCGUG
rnacentral:rRNA from 1 species